GAGCACCUUGAUAGCUCAGUUGGUAGAGCGGUGGACUGUAAGAUGCUCCUUGUGUGAAACGCUGUGAUCCUAAGGUCGCUGGUUCAACUCCAGCUCCAAGCACCUCCUUGUCAUUGGAAAUACCCCAAGCCUUGUCUUUAUCUGUCAACUCCUCCAAAAUGUCAAAACACAAAGAAGAUAACUCUUUCUUAAAUUUUCAACCAUCAAUUUUUUAUUCACCCAGCCUAAAAGUCCUGAUUAUCAGUUCUGGGUCCCUGGCAAUGACUGUUGGGUACAAACUGCAAAGCUUUGUUCUGCAGGUAGGGCUGGGCUUUUCAUUGACCAUGGGUUGGAAUAGUUCUGUGGGCAUAGUGUGUCUUUGAAGCCACUAUGUUUUCUGCACUUGUGACUAGAGAGCACCUUGAUAGCUCAGUUGGUAGAGCGGUGGACUGUAAGAUGCUCCUUGUGUGAAACGCCGUGAUCCUAAGCUCGCUGGUUCAACUCCAGCUCCAAGCACCUCCUUGUCAUUGGAAAUACCCCCAAGCCUUGUCUUUAUCUGUCAACUCCUCCAAAAUGUCAAAACACAAAGAAGAUAACUCUUUCUUAAAUUUUCAACCAUCAAUUUUUUAUUCACCCAGCCUAAAAGUCCUGAUUAUCAGUUCUGGGUCCCUGGCAAUGACUGUUGGGUACAAACUGCAAAGCUUUGUUCUGCAGGUAGGGCUGGGCUUUUCAUUGACCAUGGGUUGGAAUAGUUCUGUGGGCAUAGUGUGUCUUCGAAGCCACUAUGUUUUCUGCACUUGUGACUAGAGAGCACCUUGAUAGCUCAGUUGGUAGAGCGGUGGACUGUAAGAUGCUCCUUGUGUGAAACGCCGUGAUCCUAAGGUCGCUGGUUCAACUCCAGCUCCAAGCACCUCCUUGUCAUUGGAAAUACCCCCAAGCCUUGUCUUUAUCUGUCAACUCCUCCAAAAUGUCAAAACACAAAGAAGAUAACUCUUUCUUAAAUUUUCAACCAUCAAUUUUUUAUUCACCCAGCCUAAAAGUCCUGAUUAUCAGUUCUGGGUCCCUGGCAAUGACUGUUGGGUACAAACUGCAAAGCUUUGUUCUGCAGGUAGGGCUGGGCUUUUCAUUGACCAUGGGUUGGAAUAGUUCUGUGGGCAUAGUGUGUCUUCGAAGCCACUAUGUUUUCUGCACUUGUGACUAGAGAGCACCUUGAUAGCUCAGUUGGUAGAGCGGUGGACUGUAAGAUGCUCCUUGUGUGAAACGCCGUGAUCCUAAGGUCGCUGGUUCAACUCCAGCUCCAAGCACCUCCUUGUCAUUGGAAAUACCCCCAAGCCUUGUCUUUAUCUGUCAACUCCUCCAAAAUGUCAAAACACAAAGAAGAUAACUCUUUCUUAAAUUUUCAACCAUCAAUUUUUUAUUCACCCAGCCUAAAAGUCCUGAUUAUCAGUUCUGGGUCCCUGGCAAUGACUGUUGGGUACAAACUGCAAAGCUUUGUUCUGCAGGUAGGGCUGGGCUUUUCAUUGACCAUGGGUUGGAAUAGUUCUGUGGGCAUAGUGUGUCUUCGAAGCCACUAUGUUUUCUGCACUUGUGACUAGAGAGCACCUUGAUAGCUCAGUUGGUAGAGCGGUGGACUGUAAGAUGCUCCUUGUGUGAAACGCUGUGAUCCUAAGGUCGCUGGUUCAACUCCAGCUCCAAGCACCUCCUUGUCAUUGGAAAUACCCCCAAGCCUUGUCUUUAUCUGUCAACUCCUCCAAAAUGUCAAAACACAAAGAAGAUAACUCUUUCUUAAAUUUUCAACCAUCAAUUUUUUAUUCACUCAGCCUAAAAGUCCUGAUUAUCAGUUCUGGGUCCCUGGCAAUGACUGUUGGGUACAAACUGCAAAGCUUUGUUCUGCAGGUAGGGCUGGGCUUUUCAUUGACCAUGGGUUGGAAUAGUUCUGUGGGCAUUGUGUGUCUUCGAAGCCACUAUGUUUUCUGCACUUGUGACUAGAGAGCACCUUGAUAGCUCAGUUGGUAGAGCGGUGGACUGUAAGAUGCUCCUUGUGUGAAACGCUGUGAUCCUAAGGUCGCUGGUUCAACUCCAGCUCCAAGCACCUCCUUGUCAUUGGAAAUACCCCCAAGCCUUGUCUUUAUCUGUCAACUCCUCCAAAAUGUCAAAACACAAAGAAGAUAACUCUUUCUUAAAUUUUCAACCAUCAAUUUUUUAUUCACCCAGCCUAAAAGUCCUGAUUAUCAGUUCUGGGUCCAUGGCAAUGACUGUUGGGUACAAACUGCAAAGCUUUGUUCUGCAGGUAGGGCUGGGCUUUUCAUUGACCAUGGGUUGGAAUAGUUCUGUGGGCAUAGUGUGUCUUCGAAGCCACUAUGUUUUCUGCACUUGUGACUAGAGAGCACCUUGAUAGCUCAGUUGGUAGAGCGGUGGACUGUAAGAUGCUCCUUGUGUGAAACGCUGUGAUCCUAAGGUCGCUGGUUCAACUCCAGCUCCAAGCACCUCCUUGUCAUUGGAAAUACCCCCAAGCCUUGUCUUUAUCUGUCAACUCCUCCAAAAUGUCAAAACACAAAGAAGAUAACUCUUUCUUAAAUUUUCAACCAUCAAUUUUUUAUUCACCCAGCCUAAAAGUCCUGAUUAUCAGUUCUGGGUCCCUGGCAAUGACUGUUGGGUACAAACUGCAAAGCUUUGUUCUGCAGGUAGGGCUGGGCUUUUCAUUGACCAUGGGUUGGAAUAGUUCUGUGGGCAUAGUGUGUCUUCGAAGCCACUAUGUUUUCUGCACUUGUGACUAGAGAGCACCUUGAUAGCUCAGUUGGUAGAGCGGUGGCCUGUAAGAUGCUCCUUGUGUGAAACGCUGUGAUCCUAAGGUCGCUGGUUCAACUCCAGCUCCAAGCACCUCCUUGUCAUUGGAAAUACCCCCAAGCCUUGUCUUUAUCUGUCAACUCCUCCAAAAUGUCAAAACACAAACAAGAUAACUCUUUCUUAAAUUUUCAACCAUCAAUUUUUUAUUCACCCAGCCUAAAAGUCCUGAUUAUCAGUUCUGGGUCCCUGGCAAUGACUGUUGGGUACAAACUGCAAAGCUUUGUUCUGCAGGUAGGGCUGGGCUUUUCAUUGACCAUGGGUUGGAAUUGUUCUGUGGGCAAAGUGUGUCUUCGAAGCCACUAUGUUUUCUGCACUUGUGACUAGAGAGCACCUUGAUAGCUCAGUUGGUAGAGCGGUGGACUGUAAGAUGCUCCUUGUGUGAAACGCCGUGAUCCUAAGCUCGCUGGUUCAACUCCAGCUCCAACCACCUCCUUGUCAUUGGAAAUACCCCCAAGCCUUGUCUUUAUCUGUCAACUCCUCCAAAAUGUCAAAACACAAAGAAGAUAACUCUUUCUUAAAUUUUCAACCAUCAAUUUUUUAUUCACUCAGCCUAAAAGUCCUGAUUAUCAGUUCUGGGUCCCUGGCAAUGACUGUUGGGUACAAACUGCAAAGCUUUGUUCUGCAGGUAGGGCUGGGCUUUUCAUUGACCAUGGGUUGGAAUAGUUCUGUGGGCAUAGUGUGUCUUCGAAGCCACUAUGUUUUCUGCACUUGUGACUAGAGAGCACCUUGAUAGCUCAGUUGGUAGAGCGGUGGACUGUAAGAUGCUCCUUGUGUGAAACGCUGUGAUCCUAAGGUCGCUGGUUCAACUCCAGCUCCAAGCACCUCCUUGUCAUUGGAAAUACCCCCAAGCCUUGUCUUUAUCUGUCAACUCCUCCAAAAUGUCAAAACACAAACAAGAUAACUCUUUCUUAAAUUUUCAACCAUCAAUUUUUUAUUCACUCAGCCUAAAAGUCCUGAUUAUCAGUUCUGGGUCCCUGGCAAUGACUGUUGGGUACAAACUGCAAAGCUUUGUUCUGCAGGUAGGGCUGGGCUUUUCAUUGACCAUGGGUUGGAAUAGUUCUGUGGGCAUAGUGUGUCUUCGAAGCCACUAUGUUUUCUGCACUUGUGACUAGAGAGCACCUUGAUAGCUCAGUUGGUAGAGCGGUGGACUGUAAGAUGCUCCUUGUGUGAAACGCCGUGAUCCUAAGGUCGCUGGUUCAACUCCAGCUCCAAGCACCUCCUUGUCAUUGGAAAUACCCCCAAGCCUUGUCUUUAUCUGUCAACUCCUCCAAAAUGUCAAAACACAAACAAGAUAACUCUUUCUUAAAUUUUCAACCAUCAAUUUUUUAUUCACUCAGCCUAAAAGUCCUGAUUAUCAGUUCUGGGUCCCUGGCAAUGACUGUUGGGUACAAACUGCAAAGCUUUGUUCUGCAGGUAGGGCUGGGCUUUUCAUUGACCAUGGGUUGGAAUAGUUCUGUGGGCAUAGUGUGUCUUCGAAGCCACUAUGUUUUCUGCACUUGUGACUAGAGAGCACCUUGAUAGCUCAGUUGGAAGAGAAGUGGACUGUAAGAUGCUCCUUGUGUGAAACGCCGUGAUCCUAAGGUCGCUGGUUCAACUCCAGCUCCAAGCACCUCCUUGUCAUUGGAAAUACCCCCAAGCCUUGUCUUUAUCUGUCAACUCCUCCAAAAUGUCAAAACACAAACAAGAUAACUCUUUCUUAAAUUUUCAACCAUCAAUUUUUUAUUCACUCAGCCUAAAAGUCCUGAUUAUCAGUUCUGGGUCCCUGGCAAUGACUGUUGGGUACAAACUGCAAAGCUUUGUUCUGCAGGUAGGGCUGGGCUUUUCAUUGACCAUGGGUUGGAAUAGUUCUGUGGGCAUAGUGUGUCUUCGAAGCCACUAUGUUUUCUGCACUUGUGACUAGAGAGCACCUUGAUAGCUCAGUUGGUAGAGCGGUGGACUGUAAGAUGCUCCUUGUGUGAAACGCCGUGAUCCUAAGGUCGCUGGUUCAACUCCAGCUCCAAGCACCUCCUUGUCAUUGGAAAUACCCCCAAGCCUUGUCUUUAUCUGUCAACUCCUCCAAAAUGUCAAAACACAAACAAGAUAACUCUUUCUUAAAUUUUCAACCAUCAAUUUUUUAUUCACUCAGCCUAAAAGUCCUGAUUAUCAGUUCUGGGUCCCUGGCAAUGACUGUUGGGUACAAACUGCAAAGCUUUGUUCUGCAGGUAGGGCUGGGCUUUUCAUUGACCAUGGGUUGAAAUAGUUCUGUGGGCAUAGUGUGUCUUCGAAGCCACUAUGUUUUCUGCACUUGUGACUAGAGAGCACCUUGAUAGCUCAGUUGGUAGAGCGGUGGACUGUAAGAUGCUCCUUGUGUGAAACGCCGUGAUCCUAAGGUCGCUGGUUCAACUCCAGCUCCAAGCACCUCCUUGUCAUUGGAAAUACCCCCAAGCCUUGUCUUUAUCUGUCAACUCCUCCAAAAUGUCAAAACACAAAGAAGAUAACUCUUUCUUAAAUUUUCAACCAUCAAUUUUUUAUUCACUCAGCCUAAAAGUCCUGAUUAUCAGUUCUGGGUCCCUGGCAAUGACUGUUGGGUACAAACUGCAAAGCUUUGUUCUGCAGGUAGGGCUGGGCUUUUCAUUGACCAUGGGUUGGAAUAGUUCUGUGGGCAUAGUGUGUCUUCGAAGCCACUAUGUUUUCUGCACUUGUGACUAGAGAGCACCUUGAUAGCUCAGUUGGUAGAGCGGUGGACUGUAAGAUGCUCCUUGUGUGAAACGCCGUGAUCCUAAGGUCGCUGGUUCAACUCCAGCUCCAAGCACCUCCUUGUCAUUGGAAAUACCCCCAAGCCUUGUCUUUAUCUGUCAACUCCUCCAAAAUGUCAAAACACAAACAAGAUAACUCUUUCUUAAAUUUUCAACCAUCAAUUUUUUAUUCACUCAGCCUAAAAGUCCUGAUUAUCAGUUCUGGGUCCCUGGCAAUGACUGUUGGGUACAAACUGCAAAGCUUUGUUCUGCAGGUAGGGCUGGGCUUUUCAUUGACCAUGGGUUGAAUAGUUCUGUGGGCAUAGUGUGUCUUCGAAGCCACUAUGUUUUCUGCACUUGUGACUAGAGAGCACCUUGAUAGCUCAGUUGGUAGAGCGGUGGACUGUAAGAUGCUCCUUGUGUGAAACGCUGUGAUCCUAAGGUCGCUGGUUCAACUCCAGCUCCAAGCACCUCCUUGUCAUUGGAAAUACCCCCAAGCCUUGUCUUUAUCUGUCAACUCCUCCAAAAUGUCAAAACACAAAGAAGAUAACUCUUUCUUAAAUUUUCAACCAUCAAUUUUUUAUUCACCCAGCCUAAAAGUCCUGAUUAUCAGUUCUGGGUCCCUGGCAAUGACUGUUGGGUACAAACUGCAAAGCUUUGUUCUGCAGGUAGGGCUGGGCUUUUCAUUGACCAUGGGUUGGAAUAGUUCUGUGGGCAUAGUGUGUCUUCGAAGCCACUAUGUUUUCUGCACUUGGGACUAGAGAGCACCUUGAUAGCUCAGUUGGUAGAGCGGUGGCCUGUAAGAUGCUCCUUGUGUGAAACGCUGUGAUCCUAAGGUCGCUGGUUCAACUCCAGCUCCAAGCACCUCCUUGUCAUUGGAUAUACCCCCAAGCCUUGUCUUUAUCUGUCAACUCCUCCAAAAUUUCAAAACACAAAGAAGAUAACUCUUUCUUAAAUUUUCAACCAUCAAUUUUUUAUUCACCCAGCCUAAAAGUCCUGAUUAUCAGUUCUGGGUCCCUGGCAAUGACUGUUGUGUACAAACUGCAAAGCUUUGUUCUGCAGGUAGGGCUGGGCUUUUCAUUGACCAUGGGUUGGAAUAGUUCUGUGGGCAUAGUGUGUCUUUGAAGCCACUAUGUUUUCUGCACUUGUGACUAGAGAGCACCUUGAUAGCUCAGUUGUUAGAGCGGUGGACUGUAAGAUCCUCCUUGUGUGAAACGCUGUGAUCCUAAGGUCGCUGGUUCAACUCCACCUCCAAGCACCUCCUUGUCAUUGGAAAUACCCCCAAGCCUUGUCUUUAUCUGUCAACUCCUCCAAAAUGUCAAAACACAAACAAGAUAACUCUUUCUUAAAUUUUCAACCAUCAAUUUUUUAUUCACCCAGACUAAAAGUCCUGAUUAUCAGUUCUGGGUCCCUGGCAAUGACUGUUGGGUACAAACUGCAAAGCUUUGUUCUGCAGGUAGGGCUGGGCUUUUCAUUGACCAUGGGUUGGAAUAGUUCUGUGGGCAUAGUGUGUCUUCGAAGCCACUAUGUUUUCUGCACUUGUGACUAGAGAGCACCUUGAUAGCUCAGUUGGUAGAGCGGUGGACUGUAAGAUGCUCCUUGUGUGAAACGCCGUGAUCCUAAGCUCGCUGGUUCAACUCCAGCUCCAAGCACCUCCUUGUCAUUGGAAAUACCCCCAAGCCUUGUCUUUAUCUGUCAACUCCUCCAAAAUGUCAAAACACAAAGAAGAUAACUCUUUCUUAAAUUUUCAACCAUCAAUUUUUUAUUCACUCAGCCUAAAAGUCCUGAUUAUCAGUUCUGGGUCCCUGGCAAUGACUGUUGGGUACAAACUGCAAAGCUUUGUUCUGCAGGUAGGGCUGGGCUUUUCAUUGACCAUGGGUUGGAAUAGUUCUGUGGGCAUAGUGUGUCUUCGAAGCCACUAUGUUUUCUGCACUUGUGACUAGAGAGCACCUUGAUAGCUCAGUUGGUAGAGCGGUGGACUGUAAGAUGCUCCUUGUGUGAAACGCUGUGAUCCUAAGGUCGCUGGUUCAACUCCAGCUCCAAGCACCUCCUUGUCAUUGGAAAUACCCCCAAGCCUUGUCUUUAUCUGUCAACUCCUCCAAAAUGUCAAAACACAAAGAAGAUAACUCUUUCUUAAAUUUUCAACCAUCAAUUUUUUAUUCACCCAGACUAAAAGUCCUGAUUAUCAGUUCUGGGUCCCUGGCAAUGACUGUUGGGUACAAACUGCAAAGCUUUGUUCUGCAGGUAGGGCUGGGCUUUUCAUUGACCAUGGGUUGGAAUAGUUCUGUGGGCAUAGUGUGUCUUCGAAGCCACUAUGUUUUCUGCACUUGUGACUAGAGAGCACCUUGAUAGCUCAGUUGGUAGAGCGGUGGACUGUAAGAUGCUCCUUGUGUGAAACGCUGUGAUCCUAAGGUCGCUGGUUCAACUCCAGCUCCAAGCACCUCCUUGUCAUUGGAAAUACCCCCAAGCCUUGUCUUUAUCUGUCAACUCCUCCAAAAUGUCAAAACACAAAGAAGAUAACUCUUUCUUAAAUUUUCAACCAUUAAUUUUUUAUUCGCCCAGCCUAAAAGUCCUGAUUAUCAGUUCUGGGUCCCUGGCAAUGACUGUUGGGUACAAACUGCAAAGCUUUGUUCUGCAGGUAGGGCUGGGCUUUUCAUUGACCAUGGGUUGGAAUAGUUCUGUGGGCAUAGUGUGUCUUCGAAGCCACUAUGUUUUCUGCACUUGUGACUAGAGAGCACCUUGAUAGCUCAGUUGGUAGAGCGGUGGACUGUAAGAUGCUCCUUGUGUGAAACGCUGUGAUCCUAAGGUCGCUGGUUCAACUCCAGCUCCAAGCACCUCCUUGUCAUUGGAAAUACCCCCAAGCCUUGUCUUUAUCUGUCAACUCCUCCAAAAUGUCAAAACACAAAGAAGAUAACUCUUUCUUAAAUUUUCAACCAUCAAUUUUUUAUUCACUCAGCCUAAAAGUCCUGAUUAUCAGUUCUGGGUCCCUGGCAAUGACUGUUGGGUACAAACUGCAAAGCUUUGUUCUGCAGGUAGGGCUGGGCUUUUCAUUGACCAUGGGUUGGAAUAGUUCUGUGGGCAUAGUGUGUCUUCGAAGCCACUAUGUUUUCUGCACUUGUGACUAGAGAGCACCUUGAUAGCUCAGUUGGUAGAGCGGUGGACUGUAAGAUCCUCCUUGUGAGAAACGCUGUGAUCCUAAGGUCGCUGGUUCAACUCCAGCUCCAAGCACCUCCUUGUCAUUGGAAAUACCCCCAAGCCUUGUUUUUAUCUGUCAACUCCUCCAAAAUGUCAAAACACAAACAAGAUAACUCUUUCUUAAAUUUUCAACCAUCAAUUUUUUAUUCACCCAGCCUAAAAGUCCUGAUUAUCAGUUCUGGGUCCCUGGCAAUGACUGUUGGGUACAAACUGCAAAGCUUUGUUCUGCAGGUAGGGCUGGGCUUUUCAUUGACCAUGGGUUGGAAUAGUUCUGUGGGCAUAGUGUGUCUUCGAAGCCACUAUGUUUUCUGCACUUGUGACUAGAGAGCACCUUGAUAGCUCAGUUGGUAGAGCGGUGGCCUGUAAGAUGCUCCUUGUGUGAAACGCCGUGAUCCUAAGGUCGCUGGUUCAACUCCAGCUCCAAGCACCUCCUUGUCAUUGGAAAUACCCCCAAGCCUUGUCUUUAUCUGUCAACUCCUCCAAAAUGUCAAAACACAAACAAGAUAACUCUUUCUUAAAUUUUCAACCAUCAAUUUUUUAUUCACUCAGCCUAAAAGUCCUGAUUAUCAGUUCUGGGUCCCUGGCAAUGACUGUUGGGUACAAACUGCAAAGCUUUGUUCUGCAGGUAGGGCUGGGCUUUUCAUUGACCAUGGGUUGGAAUAGUUCUGUGGGCAUAGUGUGUCUUCGAAGCCACUAUGUUUUCUGCACUUGUGACUAGAGAGCACCUUGAUAGCUCAGUUGGUAGAGCGGUUGACUGUAAGAUGCUCCUUGUGUGAAACGCUGUGAUCCUAAGGUCGCUGGUUCAACUCCAGCUCCAAGCACCUCCUUGUCAUUGGAAAUACCCCCAAGCCUUGUCUUUAUCUGUCAACUCCUCCAAAAUGUCAAAACACAAAGAAGAUAACUCUUUCUUAAAUUUUCAACCAUCAAUUUUUUAUUCACUCAGCCUAAAAGUCCUGAUUAUCAGUUCUGGGUCCCUGGCAAUGACUGUUGGGUACAAACUGCAAAGCUUUGUUCUGCAGGUAGGGCUGGGCUUUUCAUUGACCAUGGGUUGGAAUAGUUCUGUGGGCAUAGUGUGUCUUCGAAGCCACUAUGUUUUCUGCACUUGUGACUAGAUAGCACCUUGAUAGCUCAGUUGGUAGAGCGGUGGACUGUAAGAUGCUCCUUGUGUGAAACGCUGUGAUCCUAAGGUCGCUGGUUCAACUCCAGCUCCAAGCACCUCCUUGUCAUUGGAAAUACCCCCAAGCCUUGUCUUUAUCUGUCAACUCCUCCAAAAUGUCAAAACACAAACAAGAUAACUCUUUCUUAAAUUUUCAACCAUCAAUUUUUUAUUCACCCAGCCUAAAAGUCCUGAUUAUCAGUUCUGGGUCCCUGGCAAUGACUGUUGGGUACAAACUGCAAAGCUUUGUUCUGCAGGUAGGGCUGGGCUUUUCAUUGACCAUGGGUUGGAAUAGUUCUGUGGGCAUAGUGUGUCUUCGAAGCCACUAUGUUUUCUGCACUUGUGACUAGAGAGCACCUUGAUAGCUCAGUUGGUAGAGCGGUGGCCUGUAAGAUGCUCCUUGUGUGAAACGCCGUGAUCCUAAGGUCGCUGGUUCAACUCCAGCUCCAAGCACCUCCUUGUCAUUGGAAAUACCCCCAAGCCUUGUCUUUAUCUGUCAACUCCUCCAAAAUGUCAAAACACAAACAAGAUAACUCUUUCUUAAAUUUUCAACCAUCAAUUUUUUAUUCACCCAGCCUAAAAGUCCUGAUUAUCAGUUCUGGGUCCCUGGCAAUGACUGUUGGGUACAAACUGCAAAGCUUUGUUCUGCAGGUAGGGCUGGGCUUUUCAUUGACCAUGGGUUGGAAUAGUUCUGUGGGCAAAGUGUGUCUUCGAAGCCACUAUGUUUUCUGCACUUGUGACUAGAGAGCACCUUGAUAGCUCAGUUGGUAGAGCGGUGGACUGUAAGAUCCUCCUUGUGUGAAACGCCGUGAUCCUAAGGUCGCUGGUUCAACUCCAGCUCCAAGCACCUCCUUGUCAUUGGAAAUACCCCCAAGCCUUGUCUUUAUCUGUCAACUCCUCCAAAAUGUCAAAACACAAACAAGAUAACUCUUUCUUAAAUUUUCAACCAUCAAUUUUUUAUUCACCCAGCCUAAAAGUCCUGAUUAUCAGUUCUGGGUCCCUGGCAAUGACUGUUGGGUACAAACUGCAAAGCUUUGUUCUGCAGGUAGGGCUGGGCUUUUCAUUGACCAUGGGUUGGAAUAGUUCUGUGGGCAUAGUGUGUCUUUGAAGCCACUAUGUUUUCUGCACUUGUGACUAGAGAGCACCUUGAUAGCUCAGUUGUUAGAGCGGUGGACUGUAAGAUCCUCCUUGUGUGAAACGCUGUGAUCCUAAGGUCGCUGGUUCAACUCCACCUCCAAGCACCUCCUUGUCAUUGGAAAUACCCCCAAGCCUUGUCUUUAUCUGUCAACUCCUCCAAAAUGUCAAAACACAAACAAGAUAACUCUUUCUUAAAUUUUCAACCAUCAAUGUUUUAUUCACCCAGCCUAAAAGUCCUGAUUAUCAGUUCUGGGUCCCUGGCAAUGACUGUUGGGUACAAACUGCAAAGCUUUGUUCUGCAGGUAGGGCUGGGCUUUUCAUUGACCAUGGGUUGGAAUAGUUCUGUGGGCAUAGUGUGUCUUCGAAGCCACUAUGUUUUCUGCACUUGUGACUAGAGAGCACCUUGAUAGCUCAGUUGGUAGAGCGGUGGACUGUAAGAUGCUCCUUGUGUGAAACGCCGUGAUCCUAAGGUCGCUGGUUCAACUCCAGCUCCAAGCACCUCCUUGUCAUUGGAAAUACCCCCAAGCCUUGUCUUUAUCUGUCAACUCCUCCAAAAUGUCAAAACACAAAGAAGAUAACUCUUUCUUAAAUUUUCAACCAUCAAUUUUUUAUUCACUCAGCCUAAAAGUCCUGAUUAUCAGUUCUGGGUCCCUGGCAAUGACUGUUGGGUACAAACUGCAAAGCUUUGUUCUGCAGGUAGGGCUGGGCUUUUCAUUGACCAUGGGUUGGAAUAGUUCUGUGGGCAUAGUGUGUCUUCGAAGCCACUAUGUUUUCUGCACUUGUGACUAGAGAGCACCUUGAUAGCUCAGUUGGUAGAGCGGUGGACUGUAAGAUGCUCCUUGUGUGAAACGCUGUGAUCCUAAGGUCGCUGGUUCAACUCCAGCUCCAAGCACCUCCUUGUCAUUGGAAAUACCCCCAAGCCUUGUCUUUAUCUGUCAACUCCUCCAAAAUGUCAAAACACAAAGAAGAUAACUCUUUCUUAAAUUUUCAACCAUUAAUUUUUUAUUCGCCCAGCCUAAAAGUCCUGAUUAUCAGUUCUGGGUCCCUGGCAAUGACUGUUGGGUACAAACUGCAAAGCUUUGUUCUGCAGGUAGGGCUGGGCUUUUCAUUGACCAUGGGUUGGAAUAGUUCUGUGGGCAUAGUGUGUCUUCGAAGCCACUAUGUUUUCUGCACUUGUGACUAGAGAGCACCUUGAUAGCUCAGUUGGUAGAGCGGUGGACUGUAAGAUGCUCCUUGUGUGAAACGCUGUGAUCCUAAGGUCGCUGGUUCAACUCCAGCUCCAAGCACCUCCUUGUCAUUGGAAAUACCCCCAAGCCUUGUCUUUAUCUGUCAACUCCUCCAAAAUGUCAAAACACAAACAAGAUAACUCUUUCUUAAAUUUUCAACCAUCAAUUUUUUAUUCACUCAGCCUAAAAGUCCUGAUUAUCAGUUCUGGGUCCCUGGCAAUGACUGUUGGGUACAAACUGCAAAGCUUUGUUCUGCAGGUAGGGCUGGGCUUUUCAUUGACCAUGGGUUGGAAUAGUUCUGUGGGCAUAGUGUGUCUUCGAAGCCACUAUGUUUUCUGCACUUGUGACUAGAGAGCACCUUGAUAGCUCAGUUGGUAGAGCGGUGGACUGUAAGAUGCUCCUUGUGUGAAACGCUGUGAUCUUAAGGUCGCUGGUUCAACUCCAGCUCCAAGCACCUCCUUGUCAUUGGAAAUACCCCCAAGCCUUGUCUUUAUCUGUCAACUCCUCCAAAAUGUCAAAACACAAAGAAGAUAACUCUUUCUUAAAUUUUCAACCAUUAAUUUUUUAUUCGCCCAGCCUAAAAGUCCUGAUUAUCAGUUCUGGGUCCCUGGCAAUGACUGUUGGGUACAAACUGCAAAGCUUUGUUCUGCAGGUAGGGCUGGGCUUUUCAUUGACCAUGGGUUGGAAUAGUUCUGUGGGCAUAGUGUGUCUUCGAAGCCACUAUGUUUUCUGCACUUGUGACUAGAGAGCACCUUGAUAGCUCAGUUGGUAGAGCGGUGGACUGUAAGAUGCUCCUUGUGUGAAACGCUGUGAUCCUAAGGUCGCUGGUUCAACUCCAGCUCCAAGCACCUCCUUGUCAUUGGAAAUACCCCCAAGCCUUGUCUUUAUCUGUCAACUCCUCCAAAAUGUCAAAACACAAACAAGAUAACUCUUUCUUAAAUUUUCAACCAUCAAUUUUUUAUUCACUCAGCCUAAAAGUCCUGAUUAUCAGUUCUGGGUCCCUGGCAAUGACUGUUGGGUACAAACUGCAAAGCUUUGUUCUGCAGGUAGGGCUGGGCUUUUCAUUGACCAUGGGUUGGAAUAGUUCUGUGGGCAUAGUGUGUCUUCGAAGCCACUAUGUUUUCUGCACUUGUGACUAGAGAGCACCUUGAUAGCUCAGUUGGUAGAGCGGUGGACUGUAAGAUGCUCCUUGUGUGAAACGCUGUGAUCCUAAGGUCGCUGGUUCAACUCCAGCUCCAAGCACCUCCUUGUCAUUGGAAAUACCCCCAAGCCUUGUCUUUAUCUGUCAACUCCUCCAAAAUGUCAAAACACAAAGAAGAUAACUCUUUCUUAAAUUUUCAACCAUCAAUUUUUUAUUCACUCAGCCUAAAAGUCCUGAUUAUCAGUUCUGGGUCCCUGGCAAUGACUGUUGGGUACAAACUGCAAAGCUUUGUUCUGCAGGUAGGGCUGGGCUUUUCAUUGACCAUGGGUUGGAAUAGUUCUGUGGGCAUAGUGUGUCUUCGAAGCCACUAUGUUUUCUGCACUUGUGACUAGAGAGCACCUUGAUAGCUCAGUUGGUAGAGCGGUGGACUGUAAGAUGCUCCUUGUGUGAAACGCUGUGAUCCUAAGGUCGCUGGUUCAACUCCAGCUCCAAGCACCUCCUUGUCAUUGGAAAUACCCCCAAGCCUUGUCUUUAUCUGUCAACUCCUCCAAAAUGUCGAAACACAAACAAGAUAACUCUUUCUUAAAUUUUCAACCAUCAAUUUUUUAUUCACCCAGCCUAAAAGUCCUGAUUAUCAGUUCUGGGUCCCUGGCAAUGACUGUUGGGUACAAACUGCAAAGCUUUGUUCUGCAGGUAGGGCUGGGCUUUUCAUUGACCAUGGGUUGGAAUAGUUCUGUGGGCAUAGUGUGUCUUCGAAGCCACUAUGUUUUCUGCACUUGUGACUAGAGAGCACCUUGAUAGCUCAGUUGGUAGAGCGGUGGACUGUAAGAUGCUCCUUGUGUGAAACGCUGUGAUCCUAAGGUCGCUGGUUCAACUCCAGCUCCAAGCACCUCCUUGUCAUUGGAAAUACCCCCAAGCCUUGUCUUUAUCUGUCAACUCCUCCAAAAUGUCAAAACACAAAGAAGAUAACUCUUUCUUAAAUUUUCAACCAUCAAUUUUUUAUUCACUCAGCCUAAAAGUCCUGAUUAUCAGUUCUGGGUCCCUGGCAAUGACUGUUGGGUACAAACUGCAAAGCUUUGUUCUGCAGGUAGGGCUGGGCUUUUCAUUGACCAUGGGUUGGAAUAGUUCUGUGGGCAUAGUGUGUCUUCGAAGCCACUAUGUUUUCUGCACUUGUGACUAGAGAGCACCUUGAUAGCUCAGUUGGUAGAGCGGUGGACUGUAAGAUGCUCCUUGUGAGAAACGCUGUGAUCCUAAGGUCGCUGGUUCAACUCCAGCUCCAAGCACCUCCUUGUCAUUGGAAAUACCCCCAAGCCUUGUCUUUAUCUGUCAACUCCUCCAAAAUGUCAAAACACAAACAAGAUAACUCUUUCUUAAAUUUUCAACCAUCAAUUUUUUAUUCACCCAGCCUAAAAGUCCUGAUUAUCAGUUCUGGGUCCCUGGCAAUGACUGUUGGGUACAAACUGCAAAGCUUUGUUCUGCAGGUAGGGCUGGGCUUUUCAUUGACCAUGGGUUGGAAUAGUUCUGUGGGCAUAGUGUGUCUUCGAAGCCACUAUGUUUUCUGCACUUGUGACUAGAGAGCACCUUGAUAGCUCAGUUGGUAGAGCGGUGGCCUGUAAGAUGCUCCUUGUGUGAAACGCCGUGAUCCUAAGGUCGCUGGUUCAACUCCAGCUCCAAGCACCUCCUUGUCAUUGGAAAUACCCCCAAGCCUUGUCUUUAUCUGUCAACUCCUCCAAAAUGUCAAAACACAAAGAAGAUAACUCUUUCUUAAAUUUUCAACCAUCAAUUUUUUAUUCACUCAGCCUAAAAGUCCUGAUUAUCAGUUCUGGGUCCCUGGCAAUGACUGUUGGGUACAAACUGCAAAGCUUUGUUCUGCAGGUAGGGCUGGGCUUUUCAUUGACCAUGGGUUGGAAUAGUUCUGUGGGCAUAGUGUGUCUUCGAAGCCACUAUGUUUUCUGCACUUGUGACUAGAGAGCACCUUGAUAGCUCAGUUGGUAGAGCGGUUGACUGUAAGAUGCUCCUUGUGUGAAACGCUGUGAUCCUAAGGUCGCUGGUUCAACUCCAGCUCCAAGCACCUCCUUGUCAUUGGAAAUACCCCCAAGCCUUGUCUUUAUCUGUCAACUCCUCCAAAAUGUCAAAACACAAAGAAGAUAACUCUUUCUUAAAUUUUCAACCAUCAAUUUUUUAUUCACUCAGCCUAAAAGUCCUGAUUAUCAGUUCUGGGUCCCUGGCAAUGACUGUUGGGUACAAACUGCAAAGCUUUGUUCUGCAGGUAGGGCUGGGCUUUUCAUUGACCAUGGGUUGGAAUAGUUCUGUGGGCAUAGUGUGUCUUCGAAGCCACUAUGUUUUCUGCACUUGUGACUAGAUAGCACCUUGAUAGCUCAGUUGGUAGAGCGGUGGACUGUAAGAUGCUCCUUGUGUGAAACGCUGUGAUCCUAAGGUCGCUGGUUCAACUCCAGCUCCAAGCACCUCCUUGUCAUUGGAAAUACCCCCAAGCCUUGUCUUUAUCUGUCAACUCCUCCAAAAUGUCAAAACACAAACAAGAUAACUCUUUCUUAAAUUUUCAACCAUCAAUUUUUUUAUUCACCCAGCCUAAAAGUCCUGAUUAUCAGUUCUGGGUCCCUGGCAAUGACUGUUGGGUACAAACUGCAAAGCUUUGUUCUGCAGGUAGGGCUGGGCUUUUCAUUGACCAUGGGUUGGAAUAGUUCUGUGGGCAUAGUGUGUCUUCGAAGCCACUAUGUUUUCUGCACUUGUGACUAGAGAGCACCUUGAUAGCUCAGUUGGUAGAGCGGUGGCCUGUAAGAUGCUCCUUGUGUGAAACGCCGUGAUCCUAAGGUCGCUGGUUCAACUCCAGCUCCAAGCACCUCCUUGUCAUUGGAAAUACCCCCAAGCCUUGUCUUUAUCUGUCAACUCCUCCAAAAUGUCAAAACACAAACAAGAUAACUCUUUCUUAAAUUUUCAACCAUCAAUUUUUUAUUCACCCAGCCUAAAAGUCCUGAUUAUCAGUUCUGGGUCCCUGGCAAUGACUGUUGGGUACAAACUGCAAAGCUUUGUUCUGCAGGUAGGGCUGGGCUUUUCAUUGACCAUGGGUUGGAAUAGUUCUGUGGGCAAAGUGUGUCUUCGAAGCCACUAUGUUUUCUGCACUUGUGACUAGAGAGCACCUUGAUAGCUCAGUUGGUAGAGCGGUGGACUGUAAGAUGCUCCUUGUGUGAAACGCCGUGAUCCUAAGGUCGCUGGUUCAACUCCAGCUCCAAGCACCUCCUUGUCAUUGGAAAUACCCCCAAGCCUUGUCUUUAUCUGUCAACUCCUCCAAAAUGUCAAAACACAAACAAGAUAACUCUUUCUUAAAUUUUCAACCAUCAAUUUUUUAUUCACCCAGCCUAAAAGUCCUGAUUAUCAGUUCUGGGUCCCUGGCAAUGACUGUUGGGUACAAACUGCAAAGCUUUGUUCUGCAGGUAGGGCUGGGCUUUUCAUUGACCAUGGGUUGGAAUAGUUCUGUGGGCAUAGUGUGUCUUUGAAGCCACUAUGUUUUCUGCACUUGUGACUAGAGAGCACCUUGAUAGCUCAGUUGUUAGAGCGGUGGACUGUAAGAUCCUCCUUGUGUGAAAAGCUGUGAUCCUAAGGUCGCUGGUUCAACUCCACCUCCAAGCACCUCCUUGUCAUUGGAAAUACCCCCAAGCCUUGUCUUUAUCUGUCAACUCCUCCAAAAUGUCAAAACACAAAGAAGAUAACUCUUUCUUAAAUUUUCAACCAUCAAUUUUUUAUUCACCCAGCCUAAAAGUCCUGAUUAUCAGUUCUGGGUCCCUGGCAAUGACUGUUGGGUACAAACUGCAAAGCUUUGUUCUGCAGGUAGGGCUGGGCUUUUCAUUGACCAUGGGUUGGAAUAGUUCUGUGGGCAAAGUGUGUCUUCGAAGCCACUAUGUUUUCUGCACUUGUGACUAGAGAGCACCUUGAUAGCUCAGUUGGUAGAGCGGUGGACUGUAAGAUGCUCCUUGUGUGAAACGCCGUGAUCCUAAGGUCGCUGGUUCAACUCCAGCUCCAAGCACCUCCUUGUCAUUGGAAAUACCCCCAAGCCUUGUCUUUAUCUGUCAACUCCUCCAAAAUGUCAAAACACAAACAAGAUAACUCUUUCUUAAAUUUUCAACCAUCAAUUUUUUAUUCACCCAGCCUAAAAGUCCUGAUUAUCAGUUCUGGGUCCCUGGCAAUGACUGUUGGGUACAAACUGCAAAUCUUUGUUCUGCAGGUAGGGCUGGGCUUUUCAUUGACCAUGGGUUGGAAUAGUGCUGUGGGCAUAGUGUGUCUUCGAAGCCACUAUGUUUUCUGCACUUGUGACUAGAGAGCACCUUGAUAGCUCAGUUGGUAGAGCGGUGGACUGUAAGAUGCUGCUUCUGUGAAACGCUGUGAUCCUAAGGUCGCUUGUUCAACUCCAGCUCCAAGCACCUCCUUGACAUUGGAAAUACCCCCAAGCCUUGUCUUUAUCUGUCAACUCCUCCAAAAUGUCAAAACACAAAGAAGAUAACUCUUUCUUAAAUUUUCAACCAUCAAUUUUUUAUUCACCCAGCAACUUGAUAGCUCAGUUGGUAGAGCGGUGGACUGUAAGAUGCUGCUUCUGUGAAACGCUGUGAUCCUAAGGGCGCUGGUUCAACUCCAGCUCCAAGCACCUCCUUGUCAUUGGAAAUACCCCCAAGCCUUGUCUUUAUCUGUCAACUCCUCCAAAAUGUCAAAACACAAAGAAGAUAACUCUUUCUUAAAUUUUCAACCAUCAAUUUUUUAUUCACCCAGCCUAAAAGUCCUGAUUAUCAGUUCUGGGUCCCUGGCAAUGACUGUUGGGUACAAACUGCAAAGCUUUGUUCUGCAGGUAGGGCUGGGCUUUUCAUUGACCAUGGGUUGGAAUAGUUCUGUGGGCAUAGUGUGUCUUCGAAGCCACUAUGUUUUCUGCACUUGUGACUAGAGAGCACCUUGAUAGCUCAGUUGGUAGAGCGGUGGACUGUAAGAUGCUCCUUGUGUGAAACGCCGUGAUCCUAAGGUCGCUGGUUCAACUCCAGCUCUCAAGCACCUCCUUGUCAUUGGAAAUACCCCCAAGCCUUGUCUUUAUCUGUCAACUCCUCCAAAAUGUCAAAACACAAAGAAGAUAACUCUUUCUUAAAUUUUCAACCAUCAAUUUUUUAUUCACCCAGCCUAAAAGUCCUGAUUAUCAGUUCUGGGUCCCUGGCAAUGACUGUUGGGUACAAACUGCAAAGCUUUGUUCUGCGGGUAGGGCUGGGCUUUUCAUUGACCAUGGGUUGGAAUAGUUCUGUGGGCAUAGUGUGUCUUCGAAGCCACUAUGUUUUCUGCACUUGUGACUAGAGAGCACCUUGAUAGCUCAGUUGGUAGAGCGGUGGACUGUAAGAUGCUCCUUGUGUGAAACGCUGUGAUCCUAAGGUCGCUGGUUCAACUCCAGCUCCAAGCACCUCCUUGUCAUUGGAAAUACCCCCAAGCCUUGUCUUUAUCUGUCAACUCCUCCAAAAUGUCAAAACACAAAGAAGAUAACUCUUUCUUAAAUUUUCAACCAUCAAUUUUUUAUUCACCCAGCCUAAAAGUCCUGAUUAUCAGUUCUGGGUCCCUGGCAAUGACUGUUGGGUACAAACUGCAAAGCUUUGUUCUGCAGGUAGGGCUGGGCUUUUCAUUGACCAUGGGUUGGAAUAGUUCUGUGGGCAUAGUGUGUCUUCGAAGCCACUAUGUUUUCUGCACUUGUGACUAGAGAGCACCUUGAUAGCUCAGUUGGUAGAGCGGUGGACUGUAAGAUGCUCCUUGUGUGAAACGCCGUGAUCCUAAGCUCGCUGGUUCAACUCCAGCUCCAAGCACCUCCUUGUCAUUGGAAAUACCCCCAAGCCUUGUCUUUAUCUGUCAACUCCUCCAAAAUGUCAAAACACAAAGAAGAUAACUCUUUCUUAAAUUUUCAACCAUCAAUUUUUUAUUCACUCAGCCUAAAAGUCCUGAUUAUCAGUUCUGGGUCCCUGGCAAUGACUGUUGGGUACAAACUGCAAAGCUUUGUUCUGCAGGUAGGGCUGGGCUUUUCAUUGACCAUGGGUUGGAAUAGUUCUGUGGGCAUAGUGUGUCUUCGAAGCCACUAUGUUUUCUGCACUUGUGACUAGAGAGCACCUUGAUAGCUCAGUUGGUAGAGCGGUGGACUGUAAGAUGCUCCUUGUGUGAAACGCCGUGAUCCUAAGCUCGCUGGUUCAACUCCAGCUCCAAGCACCUCCUUGUCAUUGGAAAUACCCCCAAGCCUUGUCUUUAUCUGUCAACUCCUCCAAAAUGUCAAAACACAAAGAAGAUAACUCUUUCUUAAAUUUUCAACCAUCAAUUUUUUAUUCACCCAGCCUAAAAGUCCUGAAUAUCAGUUCUGGGUCCCUGGCAAUGACUGUUGGGUACAAACUGCAAAGCUUUGUUCUGCAGGUAGGGCUGGGCUUUUCAUUGACCAUGGGUUGGAAUAGUUCUGUGGGCAUAGUGUGUCUUCGAAGCCACUAUGUUUUCUGCACUUGUGACUAGAGAGCACCUUGAUAGCUCAGUUGGAAGAGAGGUGGACUGUAAGAUGCUCCUUGUGUGAAACGCCGUGAUCCUAAGGUCGCUGGUUCAACUCCAGCUCCAAGCACCUCCUUGUCAUUGGAAAUACCCCCAAGCCUUGUCUUUAUCUGUCAACUCCUCCAAAAUGUCAAAACACAAACAAGAUAACUCUUUCUUAAAUUUUCAACCAUCAAUUUUUUAUUCACUCAGCCUAAAAGUCCUGAUUAUCAGUUCUGGGUCCCUGGCAAUGACUGUUGGGUACAAACUGCAAAGCUUUGUUCUGCAGGUAGGGCUGGGCUUUUCAUUGACCAUGGGUUGGAAUAGUUCUGUGGGCAUAGUGUGUCUUCGAAGCCACUAUGUUUUCUGCACUUGUGACUAGAGAGCACCUUGAUAGCUCAGUUGGUAGAGCGGUGGACUGUAAGAUGCUCCUUGUGUGAAACGCUGUGAUCCUAAGGUCGCUGGUUCAACUCCAGCUCCAAGCACCUCCUUGUCAUUGGAAAUACCCCCAAGCCUUGUCUUUAUCUGUCAACUCCUCCAAAAUGUCAAAACACAAAGAAGAUAACUCUUUCUUAAAUUUUCAACCAUCAAUUUUUUAUUCACCCAGACUAAAAGUCCUGAUUAUCAGUUCUGGGUCCCUGGCAAUGACUGUUGGGUACAAACUGCAAAGCUUUGUUCUGCAGGUAGGGCUGGGCUUUUCAUUGACCAUGGGUUGGAAUAGUUCUGUGGGCAUAGUGUGUCUUCGAAGCCACUAUGUUUUCUGCACUUGUGACUAGAGAGCACCUUGAUAGCUCAGUUGGAAGAGAGGUGGACUGUAAGAUGCUCCUUGUGUGAAACGCCGUGAUCCUAAGGUCGCUGGUUCAACUCCAGCUCCAAGCACCUCCUUGUCAUUGGAAAUACCCCCAAGCCUUGUCUUUAUCUGUCAACUCCUCCAAAAUGUCAAAACACAAACAAGAUAACUCUUUCUUAAAUUUUCAACCAUCAAUUUUUUAUUCACUCAGCCUAAAAGUCCUGAUUAUCAGUUCUGGGUCCCUGGCAAUGACUGUUGGGUACAAACUGCAAAGCUUUGUUCUGCAGGUAGGGCUGGGCUUUUCAUUGACCAUGGGUUGGAAUAGUUCUGUGGGCAUAGUGUGUCUUCGAAGCCACUCUGUUUUCUGCACUUGUGACUAGAGAGCACCUUGAUAGCUCAGUUGGUAGAGCGGUGGACUGUAAGAUGCUCCUUGUGUGAAACGCUGUGAUCCUAAGGUCGCUGGUUCAACUCCAGCUCCAAGCACCUCCUUGUCAUUGGAAAUACCCCCAAGCCUUGUCUUUAUCUGUCAACUCCUCCAAAAUGUCAAAACACAAAGAAGAUAACUCUUUCUUAAAUUUUCAACCAUUAAUUUUUUAUUCGCCCAGCCUAAAAGUCCUGAUUAUCAGUUCUGGGUCCCUGGCAAUGACUGUUGGGUACAAACUGCAAAGCUUUGUUCUGCAGGUAGGGCUGGGCUUUUCAUUGACCAUGGGUUGGAAUAGUUCUGUGGGCAUAGUGUGUCUUCGAAGCCACUAUGUUUUCUGCACUUGUGACUAGAGAGCACCUUGAUAGCUCAGUUGGUAGAGCGGUGGACUGUAAGAUGCUCCUUGUGUGAAACGCCGUGAUCCUAAGGUCGCUGGUUCAACUCCAGCUCCAAGCACCUCCUUGUCAUUGGAAAUACCCCCAAGCCUUGUCUUUAUCUGUCAACUCCUCCAAAAUGUCAAAACACAAACAAGAUAACUCUUUCUUAAAUUUUCAACCAUCAAUUUUUUAUUCACUCAGCCUAAAAGUCCUGAUUAUCAGUUCUGGGUCCCUGGCAAUGACUGUUGGGUACAAACUGCAAAGCUUUGUUCUGCAGGUAGGGCUGGGCUUUUCAUUGACCAUGGGUUGGAAUAGUUCUGUGGGCAUAGUGUGUCUUCGAAGCCACUAUGUUUUCUGCACUUGUGACUAGAGAGCACCUUGAUAGCUCAGUUGGUAGAGCGGUGGACUGUAAGAUGCUCCUUGUGUGAAACGCUGUGAUCCUAAGGUCGCUGGUUCAACUCCAGCUCCAAGCACCUCCUUGUCAUUGGAAAUACCCCCAAGCCUUGUCUUUAUCUGUCAACUCCUCCAAAAUGUCAAAACACAAAGAAGAUAACUCUUUCUUAAAUUUUCAACCAUCAAUUUUUUAUUCACUCAGCCUAAAAGUCCUGAUUAUCAGUUCUGGGUCCCUGGCAAUGACUGUUGGGUACAAACUGCAAAGCUUUGUUCUGCAGGUAGGGCUGGGCUUUUCAUUGACCAUGGGUUGGAAUAGUUCUGUGGGCAUAGUGUGUCUUCGAAGCCACUAUGUUUUCUGCACUUGUGACUAGAGAGCACCUUGAUAGCUCAGUUGGUAGAGCGGUGGACUGUAAGAUGCUCCUUGUGUGAAACGCUGUGAUCCUAAGGUCGCUGGUUCAACUCCAGCUCCAAGCACCUCCUUGUCAUUGGAAAUACCCCCAAGCCUUGUCUUUAUCUGUCAACUCCUCCAAAAUGUCAAAACACAAACAAGAUAACUCUUUCUUAAAUUUUCAACCAUCAAUUUUUUAUUCACCCAGCCUAAAAGUCCUGAUUAUCAGUUCUGGGUCCCUGGCAAUGACUGUUGGGUACAAACUGCAAAGCUUUGUUCUGCAGGUAGGGCUGGGCUUUUCAUUGACCAUGGGUUGGAAUAGUUCUGUGGGCAUAGUGUGUCUUCGAAGCCACUAUGUUUUCUGCACUUGUGACUAGAGAGCACCUUGAUAGCUCAGUUGGUAGAGCGGUGGCCUGUAAGAUGCUCCUUGUGUGAAACGCUGUGAUCCUAAGGUCGCUGGUUCAACUCCAGCUCCAAGCACCUCCUUGUCAUUGGAAAUACCCCCAAGCCUUGUCUUUAUCUGUCAACUCCUCCAAAAUGUCAAAACACAAAGAAGAUAACUCUUUCUUAAAUUUUCAACCAUCAAUUUUUUAUUCACCCAGCCUAAAAGUCCUGAUUAUCAGUUCUGGGUCCCUGGCAAUGACUGUUGGGUACAAACUGCAAAGCUUUGUUCUGCAGGUAGGGCUGGGCUUUUCAUUGACCAUGGGUUGGAAUAGUUCUGUGGGCAAAGUGUGUCUUCGAAGCCACUAUGUUUUCUGCACUUGUGACUAGAGAGCACCUUGAUAGCUCAGUUGGUAGAGCGGUGGACUGUAAGAUGCUCCUUGUGUGGAACGCUGUGAUCCUAAGGUCGCUGGUUCAACUCCAGCUCCAAGCACCUCCUUGUCAUUGGAAAUACCCCCAAGCCUUGUCUUUAUCUGUCAACUCCUCCAAAAUGUCAAAACACAAACAAGAUAACUCUUUCUUAAAUUUUCAACCAUCAAUUUUUUAUUCACCCAGCCUAAAAGUCCUGAUUAUCAGUUCUGGGUCCCUGGCAAUGACUGUUGGGUACAAACUGCAAAGCUUUGUUCUGCAGGUAGGGCUGGGCUUUUCAUUGACCAUGGGUUGGAAUAGUUCUGUGGGCAUAGUGUGUCUUUGAAGCCACUAUGUUUUCUGCACUUGUAACUAGAGAGCACCUUCAUAGCUCAGUUGGUAGAGCGGUGGCCUGUAAGAUGCUCCUUGUGUGAAACGCUGUGAUCCUAAGGUCGCUGGUUCAACUCCACCUCCAAGCACCUCCUUGUCAUUGGAAAUACCCCCAAGCCUUGUCUUUAUCUGUCAACUCCUCCAAAAUGUCAAAACACAAACAAGAUAACUCUUUCUUAAAUUUUCAACCAUCAAUUUUUUAUUCGCCCAGCCUAAAAGUCCUGAUUAUCAGUUCUGGGUCCCUGGCAAUGACUGUUGGGUACAAACUGCAAAGCUUUGUUCUGCAGGUAGGGCUGGGCUUUUCAUUGACCAUGGGUUGGAAUAGUUCUGUGGGCAUAGUGUGUCUUUGAAGCCACUAUGUUUUCUGCACUUGUGACUAGAGAGCACCUUGAUAGCUCAGUUGUUAGAGCGGUGGACUGUAAGAUCCUCCUUGUGUGAAACGCUGUGAUCCUAAGGUCGCUGGUUCAACUCCACCUCCAAGCACCUCCUUGUCAUUGGAAAUACCCCCAAGCCUUGUCUUUAUCUGUCAACUCCUCCAAAAUGUCAAAACACAAACAAGAUAACUCUUUCUUAAAUUUUCAACCAUCAAUUUUUUAUUCACCCAGACUUAAAGUCCUGAUUAUCAGUUCUGGGUCCCUGGCAAUGACUGUUGGGUACAAACUGCAAAGCUUUGUUCUGCAGGUAGGGCUGGGCUUUUCAUUGACCGUGGGUUGGAAUAGUUCUGUGGGCAUAGUGUGUCUUCGAAGCCACUAUGUUUUCUGCACUUGUGACUAGAGAGCACCUUGAUAGCUCAGUUGGUAGAGCGGUGGACUGUAAGAUGCUCCUUGUGUGGAACGCUGUGAUCCUAAGGUCGCUGGUUCAACUCCAGCUCCAAGCACCUCCUUUUCAUUGGAAAUACCCCCAAGCCUUGUCUUUAUCUGUCAACUCCUCCAAAAUGUCAAAACACAAACAAGAUAACUCUUUCUUAAAUUUUCAACCAUCAAUUUUUUAUUCGCCCAGACUAAAAGUCCUGAUUAUCAGUUCUGGGUCCCUGGCAAUGACUGUUGGGUACAAACUGCAAAGCUUUGUUCUGCAGGUAGGGCUGGGCUUUUCAUUGACCAUGGGUUGGAAUAGUUCUGUGGGCAUAGUGUGUCUUCGAAGCCACUAUGUUUUCUGCACUUGUGACUAGAGAGCACCUUGAUAGCUCAGUUGGUAGAGCGGUGGACUGUAAGAUGCUCCUUGUGUGAAAUGCUGUGAUCCUAAGUUCGCUUGUUCAACUCCAGCUCCAAGCACCUCCUUGUCAUUGGAAAUACCCCCAAGCCUUGUCUUUAUCUGUCAACUCCUCCAAAAUGUCAAAACACAAAGAAGAUAACUCUUUCUUAAAUUUUCAACCAUCAAUUUUUUAUUCACUCAGCCUAAAAGUCCUGAUUAUCAGUUCUGGGUCCCUGGCAAUGACUGUUGGGUACAAACUGCAAAGCUUUGUUCUGCAGGUAGGGCUGGGCUUUUCAUUGACCAUGGGUUGGAAUAGUUCUGUGGGCAUAGUGUGUCUUCGAAGCCACUAUGUUUUCUGCACUUGUGACUAGAGAGCACCUUGAUAGCUCAGUUGGUAGAGCGGUGGACUGUAAGAUGCUCCUUGUGUGAAACGCUGUGAUCCUAAGUUCGCUGGUUCAACUCCAGCUCCAAGCACCUCCUUGUCAUUGGAAAUACCCCCAAGCCUUGUCUUUAUCUGUCAACUCCUCCAAAAUGUCAAAACACAAACAAGAUAACUCUUUCUUAAAUUUUCAACCAUCAAUUUUUUAUUCACCCAGCCUAAAAGUCCUGAUUAUCAGUUCUGGGUCCCUGGCAAUGACUGUUGGGUACAAACUGCAAAGCUUUGUUCUGCAGGUAGGGCUGGGCUUUUCAUUGACCAUGGGUUGGAAUAGUUCUGUGGGCAUAGUGUGUCUUCGAAGCCACUAUGUUUUCUGCACUUGUGACUAGAGAGCACCUUGAUAGCUCAGUUGGUAGAGCGGUGGACUGUAAGAUGCUCCUUGUGUGAAAUGCUGUGAUCCUAAGGUCGCUGGUUCAACUCCAGCUCCAAGCACCUCCUUGUCAUAGGAAAUACCCCCAAGCCUUGUCUUUAUCUGUCAACUCCUCCAAAAUGUCAAAACACAAACAAGAUAACUCUUUCUUAAAUUUUCAACCAUCAAUGUUUUAUUCACCCAGCCUAAAAGUCCUGAUUAUCAGUUCUGGGUCCCUGGCAAUGACUGUUGGGUACAAACUGCAAAGCUUUGUUCUGCAGGUAGGGCUGGGCUUUUCAUUGACCAUGGGUUGGAAUAGUUCUGUGGGCAUAGUGUGUCUUCGAAGCCACUAUGUUUUCUGCACUUGUGACUAGAGAGCACCUUGAUAGCUCAGUUGGUAGAGCGGUGGACUGUAAGAUGCUCCUUGUGGGAAACGCCGUGAUCCUAAGGUCGCUGGUUCAACUCCAGCUCCAAGCACCUCCUUGUCAUUGGAAAUACCCCCAAGCCUUGUCUUUAUCUGUCAACUCCUCCAAAAUGUCAAAACACAAAGAAGAUAACUCUUUCUUAAAUUUUCAACCAUCAAUUUUUUAUUCACCCAGCCUAAAAGUCCUGAUUAUCAGUUCUGGGUCCCUGGCAAUGACUGUUGGGUACAAACUGCAAAGCUUUGUUCUGCAGGUAGGGCUGGGCUUUUCAUUGACCAUGGGUUGGAAUAGUGCUGUGGGCAUAGUGUGUCUUCGAAGCCACUAUGUUUUCUGCACUUGUGACUAGAGAGCACCUUGAUAGCUCAGUUGGUAGAGCGGUGGACUGUAAGAUGCUCCUUGUGUGAAACGCUGUGAUCCUAAGUUCGCUGGUUCAACUCCAGCUCCAAGCACCUCCUUGUCAUUGGAAAUACCCCCAAGCCUUGUCUUUAUCUGUCAACUCCUCCAAAAUGUCAAAACACAAAGAAGAUAACUCUUUCUUAAAUUUUCAACCAUCAAUGUUUUAUUCACCCAGCCUAAAAGUCCUGAUUAUCAGUUCUGGGUCCCUGGCAAUGACUGUUGGGUACAAACUGCAAAGCUUUGUUCUGCAGGUAGGGCUGGGCUUUUCAUUGACCAUGGGUUGGAAUAGUUCUGUGGGCAUAGUGUGUCUUCGAAGCCACUAUGUUUUCUGCACUUGUGACUACAGAGCACCUUGAUAGCUCAGUUGGUAGAGCGGUGGACUGUAAGAUGCUCCUUGUGUGAAAUGCUGUGAUCCUAAGGUCGCUGGUUCAACUCCAGCUCCAAGCACCUCCUUGUCAUUGGAAAUACCCCAAAGCCUUGUCUUUAUCUGUCAACUCCUCCAAAAUGUCAAAACACAAAGACGAUAACUCUUUCUUAAAUUUUCAACCAUCAAUUUUUUAUUCACCCAGCCUAAAAGUCCUGAUUAUCAGUUCUGGGUCCCUGGCAAUGACUGUUGGGUACAAACUGCAAAGCUUUGUUCUGCAGGUAGGGCUGGGCUUUUCAUUGACCAUGGGUUGGAAUAGUUCUGUGGGCAUAGUGUGUCUUUGAAGCCACUAUGUUUUCUGCACUUGUGACUACAGAGCACCUUGAUAGCUCAGUUGGUAGAGCGGUGGACUGUAAGAUGCUCCUUGUGUGAAACGCCGUGAUCCUAAGGUCGCUGGUUCAACUCCAGCUCCAAGCACCCCCUUGUCAUUGGAAAUACCCCCAAGCCUUGUCUUUAUCUGUCAACUCCUCCAAAAUGUCAAAACACAAAGAAGAUAACUCUUUCUUAAAUUUUCAACCAUCAAUUUUUUAUUCACCCAGCCUAAAAGUCCUGAUUAUCAGUUCUGGGUCCCUGGCAAUGACUGUUGGGUACAAACUGCAAAGCUUUGUUCUGCGGAUAGGGCUGGGCUUUUCAUUGACCAUGGGUUGGAAUAGUUCUGUGGGCAUAGUGUGUCUUCGAAGCCACUAUGUUUUCUGCACUUGUGACUAGAGAGCACCUUGAUAGCUCAGUUGGUAGAGCGGUGGACUGUAAGAUGCUCCUUGUGUCAAACGCUGUGAUCCUAAGGUCGCUGGUUCAACUCCAGCUCCAAGCACCUCCUUGUCAUUGGAAAUACCCCCAAGCCUUGUCUUUAUCUGUCAACUCCUCCAAAAUGUCAAAACACAAACAAGAUAACUCUUUCUUAAAUUUUCAACCAUCAAUUUUUUAUUCGCCCAGCCUAAAAGUCCUGAUUAUCAGUUCUGGGUCCCUGGCAAUGACUGUUGGGUACAAACUGCAAAGCUUUGUUCUGCAGGUAGGGCUGGGCUUUUCAUUGACCAUGGGUUGGAAUAGUUCUGUGGGCAUAGUGUGUCUUUGAAGCCACUAUGUUUUCUGCACUUGUGACUAGAGAGCACCUUGAUAGCUCAGUUGUUAGAGCGGUGGACUGUAAGAUCCUCCUUGUGUGAAACGCUGUGAUCCUAAGGUCGCUGGUUCAACUCCACCUCCAAGCACCUCCUUGUCAUUGGAAAUACCCCCAAGCCUUGUCUUUAUCUGUCAACUCCUCCAAAAUGUCAAAACACAAAGAAGAUAACUCUUUCUUAAAUUUUCAACCAUCAAUUUUUUAUUCACCCAGACUAAAAGUCCUGAUUAUCAGUUCUGGGUCCCUGGCAAUGACUGUUGGGUACAAACUGCAAAGCUUUGUUCUGCAGGUAGGGCUGGGCUUUUCAUUGACCAUGGGUUGGAAUAGUUCUGUGGGCAUAGUGUGUCUUCGAAGCCACUAUGUUUUCUGCACUUGUGACUAGAGAGCACCUUGAUAGCUCAGUUGGUAGAGCGGUGGACUGUAAGAUGCUCCUUGUGUGGAACGCUGUGAUCCUAAGGUCGCUGGUUCAACUCCAGCUCCAAGCACCUCCUUUUCAUUGGAAAUACCCCCAAGCCUUGUCUUUAUCUGUCAACUCCUCCAAAAUGUCAAAACACAAAGAAGAUAACUCUUUCUUAAAUUUUCAACCAUCAAUUUUUUAUUCGCCCAGACUAAAAGUCCUGAUUAUCAGUUCUGGGUCCCUGGCAAUGACUGUUGGGUACAAACUGCAAAGCUUUGUUCUGCAGGUAGGGCUGGGCUUUUCAUUGACCAUGGGUUGGAAUAGUUCUGUGGGCAUAGUGUGUCUUCGAAGCCACUAUGUUUUCUGCACUUGUGACUAGAGAGCACCUUGAUAGCUCAGUUGGUAGAGCGGUGGACUGUAAGAUGCUCCUUGUGUGAAAUGCUGUGAUCCUAAGGUCGCUGGUUCAACUCCAGCUCCAAGCACCUCCUUGUCAUUGGAAAUACCCCCAAGCCUUGUCUUUAUCUGUCAACUCCUCCAAAAUGUCAAAACACAAAGAAGAUAACUCUUUCUUAAAUUUUCAACCAUCAAUUUUUUAUUCACUCAGCCUAAAAGUCCUGAUUAUCAGUUCUGGGUCCCUGGCAAUGACUGUUGGGUACAAACUGCAAAGCUUUGUUCUGCAGGUAGGGCUGGGCUUUUCAUUGACCAUGGGUUGGAAUAGUUCUGUGGGCAUAGUGUGUCUUCGAAGCCACUAUGUUUUCUGCACUUGUGACUAGAGAGCACCUUGAUAGCUCAGUUGGUAGAGCGGUGGACUGUAAGAUGCUCCUUGUGUGAAACGCUGUGAUCCUAAGUUCGCUGGUUCAACUCCAGCUCCAAGCACCUCCUUGUCAUUGGAAAUACCCCCAAGCCUUGUCUUUAUCUGUCAACUCCUCCAAAAUGUCAAAACACAAACAAGAUAACUCUUUCUUAAAUUUUCAACCAUCAAUGUUUUAUUCACCCAGCCUAAAAGUCCUGAUUAUCAGUUCUGGGUCCCUGGCAAUGACUGUUGGGUACAAACUGCAAAGCUUUGUUCUGCAGGUAGGGCUGGGCUUUUCAUUGACCAUGGGUUGGAAUAGUUCUGUGGGCAUAGUGUGUCUUCGAAGCCACUAUGUUUUCUGCACUUGUGACUAGAGAGCACCUUGAUAGCUCAGUUGGUAGAGCGGUGGACUGUAAGAUGCUCCUUGUGGGAAACGCCGUGAUCCUAAGGUCGCUGGUUCAACUCCAGCUCCAAGCACCUCCUUGUCAUUGGAAAUACCCCCAAGCCUUGUCUUUAUCUGUCAACUCCUCCAAAAUGUCAAAACACAAAGAAGAUAACUCUUUCUUAAAUUUUCAACCAUCAAUUUUUUAUUCACCCAGCCUAAAAGUCCUGAUUAUCAGUUCUGGGUCCCUGGCAAUGACUGUUGGGUACAAACUGCAAAGCUUUGUUCUGCAGGUAGGGCUGGGCUUUUCAUUGACCAUGGGUUGGAAUAGUGCUGUGGGCAUAGUGUGUCUUCGAAGCCACUAUGUUUUCUGCACUUGUGACUAGAGAGCACCUUGAUAGCUCAGUUGGUAGAGCGGUGGACUGUAAGAUGCUCCUUGUGUGAAACGCUGUGAUCCUAAGUUCGCUGGUUCAACUCCAGCUCCAAGCACCUCCUUGUCAUUGGAAAUACCCCCAAGCCUUGUCUUUAUCUGUCAACUCCUCCAAAAUGUCAAAACACAAAGAAGAUAACUCUUUCUUAAAUUUUCAACCAUCAAUGUUUUAUUCACCCAGCCUAAAAGUCCUGAUUAUCAGUUCUGGGUCCCUGGCAAUGACUGUUGGGUACAAACUGCAAAGCUUUGUUCUGCAGGUAGGGCUGGGCUUUUCAUUGACCAUGGGUUGGAAUAGUUCUGUGGGCAUAGUGUGUCUUCGAAGCCACUAUGUUUUCUGCACUUGUGACUACAGAGCACCUUGAUAGCUCAGUUGGUAGAGCGGUGGACUGUAAGAUGCUCCUUGUGUGAAAUGCUGUGAUCCUAAGGUCGCUGGUUCAACUCCAGCUCCAAGCACCUCCUUGUCAUUGGAAAUACCCCAAAGCCUUGUCUUUAUCUGUCAACUCCUCCAAAAUGUCAAAACACAAAGACGAUAACUCUUUCUUAAAUUUUCAACCAUCAAUUUUUUAUUCACCCAGCCUAAAAGUCCUGAUUAUCAGUUCUGGGUCCCUGGCAAUGACUGUUGGGUACAAACUGCAAAGCUUUGUUCUGCAGGUAGGGCUGGGCUUUUCAUUGACCAUGGGUUGGAAUAGUUCUGUGGGCAUAGUGUGUCUUUGAAGCCACUAUGUUUUCUGCACUUGUGACUACAGAGCACCUUGAUAGCUCAGUUGGUAGAGCGGUGGACUGUAAGAUGCUCCUUGUGUGAAACGCCGUGAUCCUAAGGUCGCUGGUUCAACUCCAGCUCCAAGCACCUCCUUGUCAUUGGAAAUACCCCCAAGCCUUGUCUUUAUCUGUCAACUCCUCCAAAAUGUCAAAACACAAAGAAGAUAACUCUUUCUUAAAUUUUCAACCAUCAAUUUUUUAUUCACCCAGCCUAAAAGUCCUGAUUAUCAGUUCUGGGUCCCUGGCAAUGACUGUUGGGUACAAACUGCAAAGCUUUGUUCUGCGGAUAGGGCUGGGCUUUUCAUUGACCAUGGGUUGGAAUAGUUCUGUGGGCAUAGUGUGUCUUCGAAGCCACUAUGUUUUCUGCACUUGUGACUAGAGAGCACCUUGAUAGCUCAGUUGGUAGAGCGGUGGACUGUAAGAUGCUCCUUGUGUCAAACGCUGUGAUCCUAAGGUCGCUGGUUCAACUCCAGCUCCAAGCACCUCCUUGUCAUUGGAAAUACCCCAAAGCCUUGUCUUUAUCUGUCAACUCCUCCAAAAUGUCAAAACACAAAGAAGAUAACUCUUUCUUAAAUUUUCAACCAUCAAUUUUUUAUUCACCCAGCCUAAAAGUCCUGAUUAUCAGUUCUGGGUCCCUGGCAAUGACUGUUGGGUACAAACUGCAAAGCUUUGUUCUGCAGGUAGGGCUGGGCUUUUCAUUGACCAUGGGUUGGAAUAGUUCUGUGGGCAUAGUGUGUCUUCGAAGCCACUAUGUUUUCUGCACUUGUGACUAGAGAGCACCUUGAUAGCUCAGUUGGUAGAGCGGUGGACUGUAAGAUGCUCCUUGUGGGAAACGCCGUGAUCCUAAGUUCGCUGGUUCAACUCCAGCUCCAAGCACCUCCUUGUCAUUGGAAAUACCCCAAAGCCUUGUCUUUAUCUGUCAACUCCUCCAAAAUGUCAAAACACAAACAAGAUAACUCUUUCUUAAAUUUUCAACCAUCAAUUUUUUAUUCACCCAGACUAAAAGUCCUGAUUAUCAGUUCUGGGUCCCUGGCAAUGACUGUUGGGUACAAACUGCAAAGCUUUGUUCUGCAGGUAGGGCUGGGCUUUUAAUUGACCAUGGGUUGGAAUAGUUCUGUGGGCAUAGUGUGUCUUCGAAGCCACUAUGUUUUCUGCACUUGUGACUAGAGAGCACCUUGAUAGCUCAGUUGGUAGAGCGGUGAACUGUAAGAUGCUCCUUGUGUGAAACGCUGUGAUCCUCAGGUCGCUGGUUAAACUCCAGCUCCAAGCACCUCCUUGUCAUUGGAAAUACCCCCAAGCCUUGUCUUUAUCUGUCAACUCCUCCAAAAUGUCAAAACACAAAGAAGAUUACUCUUUCUUAAAUUUUCAACCAUCAAUUUUUUAUUCACCCAGCCUAAAAGUCCUGAUUAUCAGUUCUGGGUCCCUGGCAAUGACUGUUGGGUACAAACUGCAAAGCUUUGUUCUGCAGGUAGGGCUGGGCUUUUCAUUGACCAUGGGUUGGAAUAGUUCUGUGGGCAUAGUGUGUCUUCGAAGCCACUAUGUUUUCUGCACUUGUGACUAGAGAGCACCUUGAUAGCUCAGUUGGUAGAGCGGUGGACUGUAAGAUGCUCCUUGUGUGAAACGCUGUGAUCCUAAGGUCGCUGGUUCAACUCCAGCUCCAAGCACCUCCUUGUCAUUGGAAAUACCCCAAAGCCUUGUCUUUAUCUGUCAACUCCUCCAAAAUGUCAAAACACAAAGAAGAUAACUCUUUCUUAAAUUUUCAACCAUCAAUGUUUUAUUCACCCAGUCUAAAAGUCCUGAUUAUCAGUUCUGGGUCCCUGGCAAUGACUGUUGGGUACAAACUGCAAAGCUUUGUUCUGCAGGUAGGGCUGGGCUUUUCAUUGACCAUGGGUUGGAAUAGUUCUGUGGGCAUAGUGUGUCUUCGAAACCACUAUGUUUUCUGCACUUGUGACUAGAGAGCACUUUGAUAGCUCAGUUGGUAGAGCGGUGCACUGUAAGAUGCUCCUUGUGUGAAACGCUGUGAUCCUAAGGUCGCUGGUUCAACUCCAGCUCCAAGCACCUCCUUGUCAUUGGAAAUACCCCCAAGCCUUGUCUUUAUCUGUCAACUCCUCCAAAAUGUCAAAACACAAAGAAGAUAACUCUUUCUUAAAUUUUCAACCAUCAAUGUUUUAUUCACCCAGCCUAAAAGUCCUGAUUAUCAGUUCUGGGUCCCUGGCAAUGACUGUUGGGUACAAACUGCAAAGCUUUGUUCUGCAGGUAGGGCUGGGCUUUUCAUUGACCAUGGGUUGGAAUAGUUCUGUGGGCAUAGUGUGUCUUCGAAGCCACUAUGUUUUCUGCACUUGCGACUAGAGAGCACCUUGAUAGAGAGCGGUGGACUGUAAGAUGCUCCUUGUGUGAAACGCUGUGAUCCUAAGGUCGCUGGUUCAACUCCAGCUCCAAGCACCUCCUUGUCAUUGGAAAUACCCCCAAGCCUUGUCUUUAUCUGUCAACUCCUCCAAAAUGUCAAAACACAAAGAAGAUAACUCUUUCUUAAAUUUUCAACCAUCAAUGUUUUAUUCACCCAGCCUAAAAGUCCUGAUUAUCAGUUCUGGGUCCCUGGCAAUGACUGUUGGGUACAAACUGCAAAGCUUUGUUCUGCAGGUAGGGCUGGGCUUUUCAUUGACCAUGGGUUGGAAUAGUUCUGUGGGCAUAGUGUGUCUUCGAGGCCACUAUGUUUUCUGCACUUGUGACUAGAGAGCACCUUGAUAGCUCAGUUGGUAGAGCGGUGGACUGUAAGAUGCUCCUUGUGUGAAACGCUGUGAUCCUAAGUUCGCUGGUUCAACUCCAGCUCCAAGCACCUCCUUGUCAUUGGAAAUACCCCCAAGCCUUUUCUUUAUCUGUCAACUCCUCCAAAAUGUCAAAACACAAAGAAGAUAACUCUUUCUUAAAUUUUCAACCAUCAAUGUUUUAUUCACCCAGUCUAAAAGUCCUGAUUAUAAGUUCUGGGUCCCUGGCAAUGACUGUUGGGUACAAACUGCAAAGCUUUGUUCUGCAGGUAGGGCUGGGCUUUUCAUUGACCAUGGGUUGGAAUAGUUCUGUGGGCAUAGUGUGUCUUCGAAGCCACUAUGUUUUCUGCACUUGUGACUAGAGAGCACUUUGAUAGCUCAGUUGGUAGAGCGGUGCACUGUAAGAUGCUCCUUGUGUGAAACGCUGUGAUCCUAAGUUCGCUGGUUCAACUCCAGCUCCAAGCACCUCCUUGUCAUUGGAAAUACCCCCAAGCCUUUUCUUUAUCUGUCAACUCCUCCAAAAUGUCAAAACACAAAGAAGAUAACUCUUUCUUAAAUUUUCAACCAUCAAUGUUUUAUUCACCCAGUCUAAAAGUCCUGAUUAUAAGUUCUGGGUCCCUGGCAAUGACUGUUGGGUACAAACUGCAAAGCUUUGUUCUGCAGGUAGGGCUGGGCUUUUCAUUGACCAUGGGUUGGAAUAGUUCUGUGGGCAUAGUGUGUCUUCGAAGCCACUAUGUUUUCUGCACUUGUGACUAGAGAGCACUUUGAUAGCUCAGUUGGUAGAGCGGUGCACUGUAAGAUGCUCCUUGUGUGAAACGCUGUGAUCCUAAGUUCGCUGGUUCAACUCCAGCUCCAAGCACCUCCUUGUCAUUGGAAAUACCCCCAAGCCUUGUCUUUAUCUGUCAACUCCUCCAAAAUGUCAAAACACAAAGAAGAUAACUCUUUCUUAAAUUUUCAACCAUCAAUGUUUUAUUCACCCAGUCUAAAAGUCCUGAUUAUCAGUUCUGGGUCCCUGGCAAUGACUGUUGGGUACAAACUGCAAAGCUUUGUUCUGCAGGUAGGGCUGGGCUUUUCAUUGACCAUGGGUUGGAAUAGUUCUGUGGGCAUAGUGUGUCUUCGAAGCCACUAUGUUUUCUGCACUUGUGACUAGAGAGCACCUUGAUAGCUCAGUUGGUAGAGCGGUUGACUGUAAGAUGCUCCUUGUGUGAAACGCUGUGAUCCUAAGGUCGCUGGUUCAACUCCAGCUCCAAGCACCUCCUUGUCAUUGGAAAUACCCCCAAGCCUUGUCUUUAUCUGUCAACUCCUCCAAAAUGUCAAAACACAAAGAAGAUAACUCUUUCUUAAAUUUUCAACCAUCAAUGUUUUAUUCACCCAGUCUAAAAGUCCUGAUUAUCAGUUCUGGGUCCCUGGCAAUGACUGUUGGGUACAAACUGCAAAGCUUUGUUCUGCAGGUAGGGCUGGGCUUUUCAUUGACCAUGGGUUGGAAUAGUUCUGUGGGCAUAGUGUGUCUUCGAAGUCACUAUGUUUUCUGCACUUGUGACUAGAGAGCACCUUGAUAGCUCAGUUGGUAGAGCGGUGGACUGUAAGAUGCUCCUUGUGUGAAACGCUGUGAUCCUAAGGUCGCUGGUUCAACUCCAGCUCCAAGCACCUCCUUGUCAUUGGAAAUACCCCCAAGCCUUGUCUUUAUCUGUCAACUCCUCCAAAAUGUCAAAACACAAAGAAGAUAACUCUUGCUUAAAUUUUCAACCAUCAAUGUUUUAUUCACCCAGCCUAAAAGUCCUGAUUAUCAGUUCUGGGUCCCUGGCAAUGACUGUUGGGUACAAACUGCAAAGCUUUGUUCUGCAGGUAGGGCUGGGCUUUUCAUUGACCAUGGGUUGGAAUAGUUCUGUGGGCAUAGUGUGUCUUCGAAGCCACUAUGUUUUCUGCACUUGUGACUAGAGAGCACCUUGAUAGCUCAGUUGGUAGAGCGGUGGACUGUAAGAUGCUCCUUGUGUGAAACGCUGUGAUCCUAAGGUCGCUGGUUCAACUCCAGCUCCAAGCACCUCCUUGUCAUUGGAAAUACCCCCAAGCCUUGUCUUUAUCUGUCAACUCCUCCAAAAUGUCAAAACACAAAGAAGAUAACUCUUGCUUAAAUUUUCAACCAUCAAUGUUUUAUUCACCCAGCCUAAAAGUCCUGAUUAUCAGUUCUGGGUCCCUGGCAAUGACUGUUGGGUACAAACUGCAAAGCUUUGUUCUGCAGGUAGGGCUGGGCUUUUCAUUGACCAUGGGUUGGAAUAGUUCUGUGGGCAUAGUGUGUCUUCGAAGCCACUAUGUUUUCUGCACUUGUGACUAGAGAGCACCUUGAUAGCUCAGUUGGUAGAGCGGUGGACUGUAAGAUGCUCCUUGUGUGAAACGCUGUGAUCCUAAGGUCGCUGGUUCAACUCCAGCUCCAAGCACCUCCUUGUCAUUGGAAAUACCCCCAAGCCUUGUCUUUAUCUGUCAACUCCUCCAAAAUGUCAAAACACAAAGAAGAUAACUCUUUCUUAAAUUUUCAACCAUCAAUGUUUUAUUCACCCAGCCUAAAAGUCCUGAUUAUCAGUUCUGGGUCCCUGGCAAUGACUGUUGGGUACAAACUGCAAAGCUUUGUUCUGCAGGUAGGGCUGGGCUUUUCAUUGACCAUGGGUUGGAAUAGUUCUGUGGGCAUAGUGUGUCUUCGAAGCCACUAUGUUUUCUGCACUUGUGACUAGAGAGCACCUUGAUAGCUCAGUCGUUAGAGCGGUGGACUGUAAGAUGCUCCUUGUGUCAAACGCAGUGAUCCUAAGGUCGCUGGUUCAACUCCAGCUCCAAGCACCUCCUUGUCAUUGGAAAUACCCCCAAGCCUUGUCUUUAUCUGUCAACUCCUCCAAAAUGUCAAAACACAAACAAGAUAACUCUUUCUUAAAUUUUCAACCAUCAAUUUUUUAUUCACCCAGCCUAAAAGUCCUGAUUAUCAGUUCUGGCUCCCUGGCAAUGACUGUUGGGUACAAACUGCAAAUCUUUGUUCUGCAGGUAGGGCUGGGCUUUUCAUUGACCAUGGGUUGGAAUAGUUCUGUGGGCAUAGUGUGUCUUCGAAGCCACUAUGUUUUCUGCACUUGUGACUAGAGAGCACCUUGAUAGCUCAGUUGGUAGAGCGGUGGACUGUAAGAUGCUCCUUGUGUCAAACGCCGUGAUCCUAAGGUCGCUGGUUCAACUCCAUCUCCAAGCAGCUCCUUGUCAUUGGAAAUACCCCCAAGCCUUGUCUUUAUCUGUCAACUCCUCCAAAAUGUCAAAACACAAACAAGAUAACUCUUUCUUAAAUUUUCAACCAUCAAUUUUUUAUUCACCCAGCCUAAAAGUCCUGAUUAUCAGUUCUGGGUCCCUGGCAAUGACUGUUGGGUAAAAACUGCAAAGCUUUGUUCUGCAGGUAGGGCUGGGCUUUUCAUUGACCAUGGGUUGGAAUAGUUCUGUGGGCAUAGUGUGUCUUCGAAGCCACUAUGUUUUCUGCACUUGUGACUAGAGAGCACCUUGAUAGCUCAGUUGGUAGAGCGGUGGACUGUAAGAUGCUCCUUGUGUGAAACGCUGUGAUCCUAAGGUCGUUGGUUCAACUCCAGCUCCAAGCACCUCCUUGUCAUUGGAAAUACCCCCAAGCCUUGUCUUUAUCUGUCAACUCCUCCAAAAUGUCAAAACACAAAGAAGAUAACUCUUUCUUAAAUUUUCAACCAUCAAUUUUUUAUUCACCCAGCCUAAAAGUCCUGAUUAUCAGUUCUGGGUCCCUGGCAAUGACUGUUGGGUACAAACUGCAAAUCUUUGUUC
rnacentral:lncRNA from 1 species